rnacentral:rRNA from 1 species
AUUGAACGCUGGCGGCAGGCCUAACACAUGCAAGUCGAGCGGAGCGGCGGACGGGUGAGUAAUGCCUAGGAAUCUGCCUGGUAGCGGGGGAUAACUACCCGAAAGAGACGCUAAUACCGCAUACUAUCGGAGGGGCCGAUAUGGGAUUAGCUAGUUGGUGGGGUAAAGGCUCACCAAGGCGACGAUCCGUAGCUGGUUUGAGAGGAAGAACAGCCACACUGGGACUGAGACACGGCCCAGACUCCUACGGGAGGCAGCAGUGGGGAAUAUUGGACAAUGGGCGAAAGCCUGAUCCAGCCAUGCCGCGUGUAUGAAGAAGGCCUUCGGGUUGUAAAGUACUUUCAGUCGGGAGGCGUUACCUACAGAAGAAGCACCGGCUAACUCCGUGCCAGCAGCCGCGGUAAUUC